GACGAACCGUGCGAACGUUAUUCGGAAUCACUGGGCUUAAAGCGCGUGUAGGCGGGACGGCACGUCUGUCGCUGAAAUCCCCCGGCUUAACCGGGGAACUGGCGGAGAUACGACCGUCCUGGAGGGGCGUAGGGGGGACCUGGAACUUCCGGUGGAGCGGUGAAAUGCGUUGAGAUCGGAAGGAACGCCCGUGGCGAAAGCGAGGUCCUGGACGCCUACUGACGCUGAGACGCGAAAGCCAGGGGAGCGAACGGG
rnacentral:rRNA from 1 species